rnacentral:tRNA from 1 species
GGGCCGUUAGCUCAGUUGGUAGAGCAGCGGACUUUUAAUCCGUUGGUCGAGCGUUCGAGUCGCUCACGGCCCA